GUGGAGGUGCUGAUGAGGUUAAGGGUUUAGGGGGACAUGAUGAGUGGAGGUGAUGAUGAGGUAAAGGGUUUAGGGGGACAGGAUGAGUGGAGGUGAUGAUGAGGUAAAGGGUUUAGGGGGACAGGAUGAGUGGAGGUGAUGAUGAGGUACAGGGUUUAGAGGGACAGGAUGAGUGGAGGUGAUGAUGAGGUGAGGGGUUUAGGGGGACAGGAUGAGUGGAGGUGAUGAUGAGGUACAGGGUUUAGAGGGACAGGAUGAGUGGAGGUGAUGAUGAGGUAAAGGGUUUAGGGGGACAGGAUGAGUGGAGGUGAUGAUGAGAUAAAGGGUUUAGGGGACAGGAUGAGUGGAGGUGAUGAUGAGGUUAAGGGUUUAGGGGGACAGGAUGAGUGGAGGUGAUGAUGAGGUAAAGGGUUUAGGGGGACAGGAUGAGUGGAGGUGAUGAUGAGGUUUAGGGGGAGAGGAUGAGUGGAGGUGAUGAUGGGAUAAAGGGUUUAGGGGGACAGGAUGAGUGGAGGUGAUGAUGAGGUUUAGGGGGACAGGAUGAGUGGAGGUGAUGAUGAGGUUAAGGGUUUAGGGGGAUGAGUGGAGGUGAUGAUGAGGUUAAGGGUUUAGGGGGACAUGAUGAGUGGAGGUGAUGAUGAGGUUAAGGGUUUAGGGGGAC
ensembl:lncRNA